rnacentral:sRNA from 1 species
CUAAAGCACGAGACCUUUUGGGAACUCACUGGCUUCAGAUUCCAUCGGAACUCCGAAGUUAAGCGAGUUCGGGCGAGAACAUUCCCAAGAUAAGUGACCCACUGAGAAGUUCUCGUGUGAGUUCCUAGAAACAAAACUGUGAGGGUGUGGUCGGGGCCCAAAGAGGACAAUAUCAUGCUACGGUGGAGCCGUGACUGAGAUGUGACAGAAUGGUAUCAAAGCUACUCUGCCGUGUGAAGCGAGUGUGCCGACGAGGACGUCGGGCCCCUAAGGGGAUGGAUUGUAACAUCCCACAUCGACCAACGGAGAGGGAGUGAUGUGCCUUAUAUGUACAUGCCCAUCUCCAUAUAGCACGAGGCCUUUUGGGAACUCACUGUCUUCGGGUUCCAUCGGAACUCCGAAGUUAAGUGAGUUUGGGAGAGAGCAAUCCUAGUAUGGGUGACCCACUGUGAAGUUCUCAUAUGAGUUCC